CCAGAGCCUGAAGGAAUUUGGAAAACCAGCCAGCUUCAUUUUUCACUAGCCUUUUGAGGAGCACUCGAGCGCCUUUUAUGUUACCGUGAUUCUCAGUGGCUUUCGUAAUCUGCAGGAGUAAUAAUGAACAAAUAGUUAAUGCAUUUAAUAUGAGUGACAGGCGAAAAGAUUGGACCGACUGAGACAGAAAGACAGACAGAUUGACGCAAAGGCAGGUCGCUUAUUCAAAACAAAGGCGUAGCUUGAUGACGCCUUGAUUUCGUGGAAUCAUGGGAUGUCCAAACGUCUACAGCCGGUGGAAAAGAAUCCGACAGGACUUCAUAUUAAUGGAUGAGCUAAUGUAUUAAAGAUUUAUUAACAUUACUGUGGUAUGAAGCAGGGUGUGGCUGAAAGCCGUUGGAGGAGUGGAACGAGGAACGAUUGUUAAUGAGAGACGAGCGUGACACACGGCUCGAGAGCAGCGGAGCUUUUAUUAUGCCGCAGACGAGCGCUUACGCUUCUUCCAGUCAAGCGUAUGUGGGGUAACACAGCGCUGUUUAUCAUAUUAGAUACAUUUUUGUGUUAAAAGUUGUUAUAAUGCUACUCUGCGUUCACUCGGCGGCUGCUAUGAGACACUUGUUGCACACUGCUGUAAGCUAGAUCGAUAUUAGUCAUGGUACAACAUGGUACUCGCGGUAAAUCAAAAAAACGAGAUUUAAACAAUAAGACUUACUGUGUUGAGCUAUAUAACAUGAUUAGUUUUCUGUCCAUGAAUGUAUCCAAACAGUUGCUCACCUGUCUAAUAAAACACAAAAUAUGUUUAAGCAUCUUUGGUGUUUCCAUGGUUUCUACAAAAUAAAGCCGAGGGUAACGCGGGUAUGAUGUCAUUGACAGGCGAUGCACGGACACGAUCUGUGUCCUAGUUAAAAUUGCUUAAUUCUCUGGAUUUAAACAUUCUUGGAAACAUUUGGGAUAAUGUAAGUACACAAGUCAACAAAAAAAAUAUAAUAUUGAUCUUGUGGUUUUUGGAUAUUUUAAUCCAAAAAUCUUACAUAUUGUGCCUUUAACUACGACUUUUGCCUCAAUAAACUCCAAAUUACUGCUUAUUAGUAGUAAUGUAGGUGUUAAUUUUAGGUAUUGGUAGGAUUAAGAAUUAUAUCAAAUAUAUAUAUAUAUAUAUAUAUAUAUAUAUAGUAAUUAAUAU